rnacentral:rRNA from 1 species
AACGAACGCUGGCGGCAGGCCUAACACAUGCAAGUCGAGCGCGACCUUCGGGUUGAGCGGCGGACGGGUUAGUAACGCGUGGGAACGUACCCAGAUCUGCGGAAUAGCCACUGGAAACGGUGAGUAAUACCGCAUACGCCCUUCGGGGAAAGAUUUAUCGGAUUUGGAUCGGCCCGCGUUAGAUUAGGUAGUUGGUGGGGUAAUGGCCUACCAAGCCUACGAUCUAUAGCUGGUUUUAGAGGAUGAUCAGCAACACUGGACUGAGACACGGCCAGACUCCUACGGGAGCAGCAGUGGGGAAUCUUGGGACAAUGGCGCAAGCCUGAUCCAGCCAUGCCGCGUGAGUGAUGAAGGCCUUAGGGUCGUAAAGCUC